rnacentral:rRNA from 1 species
AGCGAACGCUGGCGGCAUGCUUAACACAUGCAAGUCGCGCGGGGGGUUUCGGCCUCCAGCGGCGGACGGGUGAGUAGCGCGUAGGAACGUGUCGUUGGGUGGGGGACAACCCUGGGAAACUGGGGCUAAUACCGCAUGAGGCCUGUGGGCCAAAGCCGUGAGGCGCCUGAUGAGCGGCCUGCGUCCGAUUAGGUAGUUGGUGGGGUAAGGGCCUACCAAGCCUGCGAUCGGUAGCUGGUCUGAGAGGACGAUCAGCCACACUGGGACUGAGACACGG